rnacentral:rRNA from 1 species
UACGUAGGGGGGCAAGCGUUGUCCGGAAUCAUUGGGCGUAAAGAGCGUGUAGGCGGCCCGGUAAGUCCGCUGUGAAAGUCGGGGGGCUCAACCCUCGAAAUGCCGGUGGAUACUGUCGGGCUAGAGUGCGGAAGAGGCGAGUGGAAUUCCUGGUGUAGCGGUGAAAUGCGCAGAUAUCAGGAGGAACACCAAUUGCGAAGGCAGCUCGCUGGGACGUAAACUGACGCUGGAGACGCGAAAAGCUGGGGGAGCAAAACAGG